GGGGGGAGAGAAAGUUCCAGUGUAGAGGGGCCGCAUCAGAGAAAGCCCUUUCACAGGCCCUAAUACCAUGGACCUCUCUAAGACCAGGGACCGAAGGAGGGGCAACCUGGGAAGAUCUUACAGGGUGGGACAGGACUGGCCAGGAGAGGCAGUCCUGAAGGUAAAUGGGUGCCAAGCCCUGAAAGAUUUUUAAGGUGAGAGCCAGCACUUUGAAUUGGACCCAGAAGCAACUAAGUAACCAGAGCAGCAACUGCAAGAGGUGUCACACUAUCAUAUCUUCUAGUGUCCAUAAGAGGCAGGACACCAUAUUCUGGACCAACUGAAGCUUCUGGGUCAUCUUCAAAGGCAACCCCAGGUAGAGUGCAUUACAGUAAUCCAAACAAGAGAUGACAAGGGCAUGAGUUACCGUUGCCAGGGCCUGCCGGUGGAGAUAGGGCUGCAACUGGCAGACCAGCCAAAGCUGCACAAAGGCACCUCUGGCCAUGGGCCUCCACGUGCUGCUUGAGCAGGAGCCGUGAGUCCAAGAGGACCCCCAAGUCCUGGACCACCUCCUUCAGGGGCAGCAUGAUCCCAUCCUUUGAGAAACUCAAACUUGGCAAUUGGCCAGGUCGAGAAGUAAGCAAAAGCAACUCAGUCUGGGUGGGAUUAAGUCUGAGCUUGUUUUGGCCCAUCCAGACCCUAGCAGCCUCCAGACACUUGGCAAGCACAGAAACAGCAUCUCCAGAGUGGCCUGGGGUGGCUAUAUACAACUGGGUAUCAUCGGCACAUUGAUGGAAGCUCACCCCCAAAUGGCAGAUGUCCUGUCCCAGCAGUUUCAUGCAGAUGUUAAAAAGAAUGAGACACCAUAAAGGCCCCAUAAAGCCACCCCAUAAAGCCACCCCAUAAAGGAGUGGCCACAGGGCAGAGCACUCGCCACCAAUGCACGAUGACUGAAAGUGCCCACUAAGGAAGGAACUGAACCACUGCAAAACAGUGCCCCCAGUACACAACCCACACAGGCACUCCAGAAGGAUGCCAUGGUCGAUGGUAUCGAAAGUCGAUGGUAUUGAUAACCAUGGCUAUGAAAGGGCUGUACAAGUGUGAUGUAUUAUAAAAUCAGACAAAACAAUAAACCAGGGGCUCCCAGCCCGUUAGUCACCAUUAUCUGCUGUUCUUCAGCUACUAUGGUUGAACAUCUAAGGGUCAAGGGCUAGGAACCCUGCAAUGAUUUAUAAACUAGAGAUUAGUAACAGUAGUGGCAAAAAUGAUGGAACUGAAUAAAACAGCAGAACAUCUGCUGCUAGUCAUUACAAGUUUUGGUGGGUUAGGGUUAGGGUUAACACUUUUAAUGUGGUGGCUUCAGAAAGAUGCUGAUAUAGGGGACCACAAGCAUAGGGUUUCCCCCCUGCCCUGGGAGGUUGGAAACCAUCCCCUCUGGCUGUUGGGGUGGCCAUGGCCAUGGGGGCUGUAAUGGAGAGCACAUGCAACUACCUCACUGGCUGAUGCUCACUUUGGUGCCAAUAUCUCCUUUUGCCGGGCUUUGCCCUAUGUCUGAUUUCUUGCCCUCACUGAUUCUCUUCCUGCUCUCUUUCCUCAACACCUUCCAGAGGCCUCAAUCCUAUCCAAACUCACCAGACACAGGACCACUCCUGGAGGUCAGGCCUCUGAGCAGGAACUAAUAUUGGGGGCUCACACAGGGAGGAAUGAAGGGCCUACAUGCCCAUCAACUUUGACCAGCCUGCAUAUCACCCCCACACGGCUUGCAUGCCUAUCUACCUCAACCGGCCUUCGUAGCAGCCCCGCAUGGCCACGUGGACCUGGAAGGAAUCCUCUGUAACAGAAAGACUCUCAAGUUCCCAGCCAGCACUAUCGCCAACAACACGCCUCAACCUUAUGAGGUGCAAGAGAUGCUGCGCAGACAGAUUGGAGGACUUGGUGCACACCUGGAUCGAGAACCAGGCCGAGGAGAGCACCAGACAGCAGGAGCAGUCUGCCAGAUCCCUGAAGCAGACAAAUGUUUUAUUGGGGUAGAUGUUGAUACAGGCAGAGGAAGACAGCACUCAUGUCUGCUAGGCAAUGGAUAGGAAUGGGCAGGUAUUUGAGGGGCUCCUGGCUGGCUGGAGAACUUCCAGGCAGCUGCAACAGGCAAUGGACAUGCCAGCGGGCAUGCACAAUCCUACAACCUGCAGUCCCCCAUUAACUCUGGCCCCAGCAUUGUGUGCUAUAAUUUUUUCUGAGGCCAGUUCAACCAACAGCACACCUGCCCAGCAAUGUCCAGAGAGUUCUUCAAGGUGAUCAUCUGUCCACCCAUGGAAAGGGCUGCAGGAGCUCCUCAGUUCUCCUUUGGCGGAGGCACUUACUGUCUUUGCUGUGGACACAGUCCAACCAUAUGCCAGCCCCAGGCGUAACACCUCCCACACUGAGGAUUCCUCAGACCUUAAGGAAGUUCAGGAAGCACCAAGCACAUCAGGAAACAGGGUAGACAUCAGGAAACAGAGCAUUGGAGCAAUGCUCCCAGGAGCUCUGCCCUCUGGGCACUGCUUGCCCAAAGGAGCAGGAGACAAAUUCGCAGGAAGCUCCUCUACUCCCAACAGAAGCUCCCCCUGCCUGCCGGAAUGUUAGUAUCACAAUGCAGCCAGAACUGGCCGCUGAUAUUUGAAUGUGUAAACUGUCCUCCAGUUGUCUACCUUGUUUGUACCAAGCUGUGACGAGAAAAGCCACUUCAAUGGUCAGUCUCUUUUAGAAGAAACCUUAUUUUUUUCCUUAUCGUCAUUAUCUGUUUCUAUAGAUAUUCUUUCCACAGCAUAGUGAAUAAAGUUUAACACAGUGCA